AGAUUAAGUUAUUAAGGGCGCACGGUGGAUGCCUUGGCACUAGAAGCCGAUGAAGGACGUUACUAACGACGAUAUGCUUUGGGUAGCUGUAAGUAAGCGUUGAUCCAGAGAUUUCCGAAUGGGGGAACCCAGCAUGAGUUAUGUCAUGUUAUCGACAUGUGAAUUCAUAGCAUGUCAGAAGGCAGACCCGGAGAACUGAAACAUCUUAGUACCCGGAGGAAGAGAAAGAAAAAUCGAUUCCCUGAGUAGCGGCGAGCGAAACGGGAAGAGCCCAAACCAACAAGCUUGCUUGUUGGGGUUGUAGGACACUCUAUACGGAGUUACAAAAGAACAUGUUAGACGAAUCAUCUGGAAAGAUGAAUCAAAGAAGGUAAUAAUCCUGUAGUCGAAAAUAUAUUCUCUCUUGAGUGGAUCCUGAGUACGACGGAGCACGUGAAAUUCCGUCGGAAUCUGGGAGGACCAUCUCCUAAGGCUAAAUACUCUCUAGUGACCGAUAGUGAACCAGUACCGUGAGGGAAAGGUGAAAAGUACCCCGGAAGGGGAGUGAAAGAGAACUUGAAACCGUGUGCUUACAAGUAGUCAGAGCCCGUUAAUGGGUGAUGGCGUGCCUUUUGUAGAAUGAACCGGCGAGUUACGAUCUGAUGCAAGGUUAAGCAGCAAAUGUGGAGCCGCAGCGAAAGCGAGUCUGAAU
rnacentral:rRNA from 1 species